GACGAACGCUGGCGGCGUGCUUAACACAUGCAAGUCGAACGGAAAGGCCCUGCUUUUGUGGGGUGCUCGAGUGGCGAACGGGUGAGUAACACGUGAGUAACCUGCCCUUGACUUUGGGAUAACUUCAGGAAACUGGGGCUAAUACCGGAUAGGAGCUCCUGCUGCAUGGUGGGGGUUGGAAAGUUUCGGCGGUUGGGGAUGGACUCGCGGCUUAUCAGCUUGUUGGUGGGGUAGUGGCUGACCAAGGCUUUGACGGGUAGCCGGCCUGGGAGGGUGACCGGCCACAUUGGGACUGAGAUACGGCCCAGACUCCUACGGGCGGCAGCAGUGGGGAAUAUUGCACAAUGGGCGGAAGCCUGAUGCAGCAACGCCGCGUGCGGGAUGACGGCCUUCGGGUUGUAAACCGCUUUCGCCUGUGACGAAGCGUGAGUGACGGUAAUGGGUAAAGAAGCACCGGCUAACUACGUG
rnacentral:rRNA from 1 species